rnacentral:rRNA from 1 species
UACGGGGGGGGUAAGCGUUGUUCGGAAUUACUGGGCGUAAAGGGCUCGUAGGCGGCCAACUAAGUCGGACGUGAAAUCCCUCAGCUUAACUGGGGAACUGCGUCCGAUACUGGAUGGCUUGGAUUUGGGAGAGGGAUGCGGAAUUCCAGGUGUAGCGGUGAAAUGCGUAGAUAUCUGGAGGAACACCGGUGGCGAAGGCGGCAUCCUGGACCAACAUUGACGCUGAGGAGCGAAAAGCUAGGGGAGCAAACGGGG